rnacentral:rRNA from 1 species
AUAGAACGCUGGCGGCAUGCUUAACACAUGCAAGUUGAACGCAGAAUAGAGCUUCGGCUCUAUUGCUGAGUAGCAGACGGGUGAGUAACGCGUGGGAAUCUACCUUUUGUGGGGGAUAACUAAGGGAAACUUUAGCUAAUACCGCAUAAGCUCUAUGGAGGAAAGGCUUCGGCCGCAAGAAGAGGAGCCCGCGUCAGAUUAGGUAGUUGGUGGGGUAAUAGCCUACCAAGCCAAUGAUCUGUAGCUGGUCUGAGAGGAUGAUCAGCCACACUGGGACUGAGACACGGCCCAGACUCCUACGGGAGGCAGCAGUGGGGAAUAUUGGACAAUGGGGGAAACCCUGAUCCAGCAAUGCCGCGUGAAUGAAGAAGGCCUUAGGGUUGUAAAGUUCUUUCACCUGUGAAGAUAAUGACGGUAGCAGGAGAAGAAGCCCCGGCUAACUCCGUG